rnacentral:rRNA from 1 species
GAUGAACGCUGGCGGCGUGCUUAACACAUGCAAGUCGAACGAAGCAGCUAAGAUUGAGAUUUCGGUUGAUAGAUUAGUUGACUGAGUGGCGGACGGGUGAGUAACGCGUGGGAAACCUGCCUUACACAGGGGGAUAACAGUUAGAAAUGACUGCUAAUACCGCAUAAGCCUACAGAGUCGCAUGACUCAGGAGGAAAAGAGAUAUCGGUGUAAGAUGGUCCCGCGUCUGAUUAGCUAGUUGGUGAGGUAACGGCCCACCAAGGCGACGAUCAGUAGCCGACCUGAGAGGGUGACCGGCCACAUUGGGACUGAGACACGGCCCAA